UACGUAGGUGGCAAGCGUUGUCCGGAUUUACUGGGCGUAAAGGGCGUGCAGGCGGUCUGUUAAGUGCAGGGUGAAAGCUCCCGGCUCAACUGGGAGAGGUCCUUGCAUACUGGCGGACUUGAGGGGGGUAGAGGAAAGUGGAAUUCCCGGUGUAGUGGUGAUAUGCGUAGAUAUCGGGAGGAACACCUGUGGCGAAGGCGGCUGUCUGGGCCCUACCUGACGCUGAGACGCGAAAGCGUGGGGAGCGAACCGG
rnacentral:rRNA from 1 species